rnacentral:rRNA from 1 species
UACGUAGGGGGCUAGCGUUGUCCGGAAUCAUUGGGCGUAAAGGGUGCGUAGGUGGCGGGGUAAGUCAGGUGUGAAAUUUCGGAGCUCAACUCCGAAACUGCAUUUGAUACUGCCUUGCUUGAGGACUGGAGAGGAGACUGGAAUUCACGGUGUAGCAGUGAAAUGCGUAGAGAUCGUGAGGAAGACCAGUGGCGAAGGCGGGUCUCUGGACAGUUCCUGACACUGAGGCACGAAGGCCAGGGGAGCAAACGGG